GGAAGGUAAUGCUCGGGGCGAUGGUCAGCAGAACCCAUCAACAAAUUCUGCUCCAAAUCAGAACGGCACACCCGGAAACUCUGAAUCCCAGGAGCCGGCAACAGUUGAUGAUCAAGCAAUUUUCUUCUCUAGUCUGGUUCGUCAGCUUAUGCCAUACAUAUCUCAAGACACCAACGCACUGCCAAGUACUUCCACAACACCACCGUCCGAGGAAAG
rnacentral:misc_RNA from 1 species